rfam:Picea glauca, whole genome shotgun sequence.
GUAUGUAUAUGCCUACAACAUUAAUGUAGUGGAGCCCAUUAUAACUUCACAUUUAAGAGUGUUUGGUAUAGAGUAAUAUUGGGUUGGGUGACCUCCUUGGAAAUCCUAGUGUUUUACAUGCU